rnacentral:lncRNA from 1 species
GCGUUUCUGUUCCACUUUCCAUUUGUCCCUCUGCCAGCGGGCUUCUCUUUGUCUGUCACCUGUUGUCUUCUUCUAUUCCUCCCACCGCAGUUGUGCUCCGGCAUGAAAUGGGUCCUGGACGACCUCCAAGAUGUCACCUCGCCUCCACCAUUAUCGAUGCGCCACCUGUCAUAUACAAACACGCUUCAAUGCCUAAUCAAGACCAUUCACUUUCUCCCCUCCAUGCCUCCUGCUGCAGAAUCCAAACCCGCCUUUUUCCUUCACCAACUUGAAGCCUGGGGCGUCUGGAUCUGCCAAGUCCCAACUCCCAAGAAAGUAAGUCUGGAGUCGUUCGCAGGCGUGUUGAAAAAAAAAACGGUCUAAAAUAUUCCAGAAAGGUUUCGCAGUGAUCUCACAGCUUCAGUUUGGACACAGCGAGGAGACGGAUGGAGUCUCUGCGCAGACGACAACAAGAAGGGGGAGCAGAUGCAUCAGGGCUGGAUUCUGUGAAACCUCAUCAUGCAAAAGCACCUCGAAGCCAGGAAAAGACUGGAAGAUGAAGAUUUAUCUGUGAGCUUUAGGCGGAUUGACCCUUUAACCCGUCAGACCUGCGCAGCAUAAAACAGCAGAGAAGAGGGCACUGACCCUGCGAGCCACUCUUCUUACCGCGCAGCAGAGGAUUGAGCACAGAAGUAGAUGAAAAGUAGAUGUGAUGGAGGUGACAGUAGUUGUCAUGGCAACAGUAGUAGUAGUAAAUUCAUUAAGGUGGUACCCGGGGAGAAUAACAUCACCCAGACGCGUCGUGAUCCUCCACAAGGUUUUAUGCAGAAGAUAAAAGCUCAGCUGGAUCAUCUCUGUCCUUAAUGCUCCCUUCGCUAAGUUCCAUCUGUACGUUUCUCUCUGGUUCACAACGUAACAAAAAGGCAGGACAUCACAAAGUAAAGGCUGAGGCUUCAUCACGUAAGGAUUUAGUUGAACCAAACAAACCAAAGUCUGCUCGAUUUGUCAAUUAAACCUGGUCGGAAGCGGAUGAGGUUCUGUAUCUGGGAGAAAUCAGUAACUCCGCCAUCUGAGGCAAAGCAUGAGCUGUGCUUCUGCUCAUUGUUGGACGGGCCUCACCCUGCUGCAGGUGGUUUUCAUUCUUCUCUGCUGCUGAGCGCGGCUGUUGUGAACACAUGUGACUUCAGAUGUGGUCAGGGAGUUUUUC